UGUAUCGGCUGAUAGCUGCAAAUUGCAGAGGAAAGUCCGUGCUAGCACCGGCUGAGAUGUCGGUAGUGUUCAUGUUAAGCCAAAUAAGCUUAAGCCUAGACGACUAGUGCCACAGAGACGAGAAUUGUGAAACGCGGUAAACUCCAUGAGCUAGAAACCCAAAUUUGGUAGGGGAACCUUGAAUAGAAAAUGAACGAUUUUGAGGAACAUAUUUUUGUAUGUUAGAUAAAUUAUCAGCACAUUUAAAAUGUACAGAACACGGCUUACAGAU
rnacentral:RNase_P_RNA from 1 species